rnacentral:rRNA from 1 species
UCUAGAGAGACUGCCGGUGAUAAACCGGAGGAAGGUGGGGAUGACGUCAAAUCAUCAUGCCCCUUAUGGCCUGGGCUACAAACGUAAUACAAUGGCGUAUACAAAGGGAUGCGAAAGGGCGACCUGGAGCAAAACUCACAAAGUACGUCUCAGUUCAGAUUGGAGUCUGCAACUCGACUCCAUGAAGGCGGAAUCGCUAGUAAUCGCGGAUCAGCAUGCCGCGGUGAAUACGUUCUCGGGGUUU